GGAGGGUGCAAGCGUUAUCCGGAUUCACUGGGUUUAAAGGGUGCGUAGGAGGACUGGUAAGUCAGUGGUGAAAUCUCCGGGCUUAACUCGGAAACUGCCGUUGAUACUAUCAGUCUUGAAUACCGUGGAGGUGAGCGGAAUAUGUCAUGUAGCGGUGAAAUGCUUAGAUAUGACAUAGAACACCAAUUGCGAAGGCAGCUCACUACACGAAUAUUGACUCUGAGGCACGAAAGCGUGGGGAUCAAA
rnacentral:rRNA from 1 species